GUUUUUAUAUUAUAAAAUAUAUCAGACAAAUAGUAAGGUUUAUAAGUGUGGGAGGGACAGCGUCCUGCUCCCAGAAACAACAGAUAGUGCACAGGUGUUAAAGACUCUAGGAGUCUAGGAUUGGUAAUGAUCCAACCGCAGGUUCACCUACGGUUA
rnacentral:misc_RNA from 1 species